UAGUUUCUGAUCAUGGAAUGGCAACUGAAAAUACAAGCGCUAUAAUAUACAUUGAUAAAAUUCUAGGUGGGUUACAUGGUCUCUCUGUAGUAGGAAGGAAUGCUGGUUCUAUGGUUUAUAGUGAUAUUCUAAAAAACAUCUCAAUAACU
rnacentral:lncRNA from 1 species